UUCGUAGCUCAGUCGGUAGAGCAAAGGACUGAAAAUCCUUGUGUCACUGGUUCGAUUCCAGUCGGAGC
rnacentral:tRNA from 2 species